rnacentral:rRNA from 1 species
CUGGUUGAUCCUGCCAGUAGUCAUAUGCUUGUCUCAAAGAUUAAGCCAUGCAUGUCUAAGUAUAAACACGUUAUACUGUGAAACUGCGAAUGGCUCAUUAAAUCAGCUAUAGUUUAUUUGAUGGUUUUUGCUACAUGGAUAACUGUGGUAAUUCUAGAGCUAAUACAUGCGUAUAAGCCCCGACUUCUGGAAGGGGUGUAUUUAUUAGAUAAAAAUCAACACUGUUGGUGAAUCAUGAUAACUUCUCGGAUCGCAUGGCCUUGUGCUGGCGAUACUUCAUUCAAAUAUCUGCCCUAUCAACUGUCGAUGGUAGGAUAGAGGCCUACCAUGGUUGCAACGGGUAACGGGGCAUAAGGGUUCGAUUCCGGAGAGGGAGCCUGAGAAACGGCUACCACAUCCAAGGAAGGCAGCAGGCGCGCAAAUUACCCAAUCCCGACACGGGGAGGUAGUGACAAUAUGUAACAAUAUACGGCUUUAUCGUCGUAUAAUUGGAAUGAGUACAAUUUAAAUCCCUUAACGAGGAACAAUUGGAGGGCAAGUCUGGUAAUCACUAGUGAAUU